CCUGCCACUAUACUGUGACACUGUCCUUUCACUCCUCCCAAUGAGCUAAGCUCUUUCCCACCCCAGGCCCUUUGCAGAUGCUGUUUUCUCUGCCCAGAAACCCCCUUCCUCAUGCACUUCAGAAAGCCUCGGCCUCCAUCUUUGCCAUGCUUAACCCUGAGUCACCACCUGCCCCACCCCGUGGUCCCCUUCACUUUGUGCUCCCAUUCCUAGGUUCCUGGCACAGCAUACUGGCUGGCUGGCUGCCCCUGGGCCUGCCAUGUGCCACUCAUUCCACAGGCCUCUUUAUCUCCUCCGGAUCCUUCAUAUACCUGUGCCUUGGGGACCAGGGAGGCAGGGAACUGCAGAGGUUCUUCACAUAGGCUCCAAGAGCCAGACUGCCAUGUCCUAAAUGUCUGACCUUGGGAAAAAGUGAAUUGACCUCCCUGGACCUCACUUCCCACAUCUUAAAAUAGAAGUAAUGAUAGUGCCUUUCCUCAUAGGAUUGUCAUGAGAUGAAAUCAACUAGUCUGAGGGGCUUGGAACAGUGCCUGGUGCUUAAGUGCUAAAUAAAUGCAACUAGUACAAUUAUUCCAAAACCCUCCACUAGCCUCAGAGCCCAGACCCCUCUUUUGCUGCCCUUCAGCUCUCAGCAGGUGACUGCACCCUUUGUGAAAAUGUCAAAGCGGUCAGCCGAAGCAGUGCACUUGAAGCCCUGCACUGCAUAUCAAAAUGUCUCCAGGGUCCCCUCAUCCCUCCCCCUUCCGUCCUGUCUUGGAAGUAAGUGAUCUCCCCUGCCCAGGCCACUCCUCCUCCCCACCUGCUCCACCCUCACUAGCCUUGUUCCUGCCACCAUCACCCCUCCUUUCUCAUCUUCUACACCAGCUAUUCAUUCAAGUAUUUACUGAGGCUCUCCCUUGCACCAGGUGCUGUUCAAGGUGCUGAGGAUAUAGGAGUAAACACAGUACAGUGGCUGCUCUUGUGGUACCUUCUCCAGGAGGGUGAGGCAGAGCAGGGAAGAUGCACAUAGAAAUAAACUGUGCACAGGGUAACUGGAGAUCACGAUGAGAACUCUAGAGAGAAUAGAGCAGGGUGCUGUGCCAGAGGGCAUGGCAAGGGGACUUGCUCAGGGACACUUGCUUUGAAGUCAUGAUGUCUGAGCUGAGAUCUAAAUCUCAGGAAGCCAAAAGAUCCCGUAUCUCGAUUUGAAUGAGGAUUACAGAGCAUACAUACUCCCUUGUCCCAGAAAAAAGCUAGCUGCACAAGAUCUGGCAAAGAACCUUCCAAGCAAGGAAGGAGCAAAUGCAAAGGUCCUAAGGCAGCAGAGAGCUUGCUGAGUUCAGGGGGCAGGCAGGCAGAACACAGCUGAGGGGUUGGGCAAGAGGCAGGCAGGGACCUGACCAAGUGCGGAGCCCAGGAAGGAGGCUGUCUUAUUCGCCGUGCAGUGGGA
ensembl:lncRNA